UACGGAGGGUGCGAGCGUUGUCCGGAAUCAUUGGGCGUAAAGGGCGCGUAGGUGGCCCGGUCAGUCCGUGGUGAAAGCGCGGGGCUCAACCCCGCGUCGGCCAUGGAUACUGCUGGGCUGGAGCACUGUAGAGGCAGGCGGAAUUCCGGGUGUAGCGGUGGAAUGCGUAGAGAUCCGGAAGAACACCGGUGGCGAAGGCGGUGAGCUGGGCAGUAGCUGACACUGAGGCGCGACAGCGUGGGGAGCAAACAGG
rnacentral:rRNA from 1 species